CCUGUAAGACUUCUAAUCAUAAUUUGUUUGUUUAAGGAGGUCGUUAUUUAAGUUCAAGCAGACUAAUCACUGAAGGCUACCCAACCUCUAUAUCACCUAGUUUUAAGGAUUGUUAAUGAUUUGCGUUUCUGCCUGGCAAACCUACUGAAGAACUAAAAGUGGCUUACACUCUAAAAAGGUUGGCUUCUGAUGCGGACCAUCCGAACGCCCAGAGGGUACAGUAGUACAGAGGAGCAAUACCUGUAAAAGUCAUUGACGAAGUUCUGGUGCUCCGUCCACUUUUCCCUGUCUCCGUUCCUGCCUGUCUUCCUUUCCAUUUGUAUUGGGUGUGAAUGUAUAAAAAUUGCUUUUGUACUUCUGCACUAACUUGCCUCCAGCUCCCAGCAUCAUUCACAUCAAAGAAAGAGAGAGAAAGAGCCUUGCUAUGAUAUGUAAUAUAGAUUUGUUAGAUGUUGCUAGAAAAUUUUCUCACCGCAAACUAGAUUUUAUUUUGAAUGCAGGAGAACAGUGUAGGUAAGAAUUUAAAAAAAAAAAAAAUAUUGUAGAUCUAUUGUUAGGUUGUUAGAAACCUAUUUUAUUAUUUAUGAUACGCGCAGUACAUUAUUGGGAAUUUUAAAAUUAUUUUUUAAAUGAUUUAACUUACACCAUAUUGAACAAGGCAACCAGAUCUACGUGUAUUA